ensembl:lncRNA
CUCGGUCUGCUCGAGCGAAUGCUCCGUCCCAGAUCCUUGUCCCAUGGAGCUGUGUACAGGCUGAUAUCCACAGAUUUAAUGCUCCCAUUGCAGAUUUGCAGAGCUCCCCCUCAGGUCCAGACUCACCACCCCUAUAAACAUUGCUUCCCUGUCUCCAGUUUUUCACCAUUUGGAUCAGGGCAUCCAGAGCAGGGCGGAGCGUUCAGCAGAGAUCCCACCCGUGCCAGCAGUGUGCUGAGGUUUCUGUUACGCACCCAGGGAUUACUCCCGGUGCUCAGCUGGUUUUCCUGCUCUGCUCCUAAAAUGCCAUCCAACUUGCUCCUCCCGUGGGACUGCAUCUGUCUCUGAAUAGCCUGACACUUGGCUCUUAAGGGCAGUCCUUAGGCAGUGUCGCUGCUUGCAGCAGCCUUUAUUUACACAUCCUGCUGUUGUUCUUCUGGGUCACCCACAGACCUGACUGUUAAAUACUUUAUGUUUUCUUCCUGCUCAUUGACAAACACCAUUUCUGCCUUUACUGUAGGAGUGUCCUGGUUCCAGGUGCGUGCGUGCCUCAGUUUUGUCAACACUGAGUCAGGAGAUCUGAUCUACGCCAUCUCCCACCACACCCAUCCCUAGGAAUAAGGCCCAGUGCAGGAGCUGGCAGGGAGCCAUGGGGCACACUGAAACAUGUGCCUUCUCUGUAUCAGACAGAGCCAUUAAAUAGUGUGGGACCCAAACCAGCUGAACUCACAAAGCUGCCUCUCCUGUGGAUUUGCAGACAAAUCCCUGCAGACUCCUUCCAGUUCUUUCCCUGUUUGGCUGGGCAAGGGGACAUCACUGCCCCUGGGGGGAGCUGAGACUACCCGCCUUUCCACCAGGGCACGGUGCUGCCUCUGCUGCAUACUCUGCUCAGCUAUUCCUUCCAGACCUAAAAUGUUUGGGAUUUCUUCCCCACCGUCAAAUUUGACUGAGGUUGGAGGAAGGAGGGAAAAAAUGACAGAGAACUUUUAGGAAACCAGGCUAAAAAUACCAAAG